rnacentral:rRNA from 1 species
CCCAGGAGCCACAAGUGGCAACCACUAUUAUUGGGCCUAAAGCGUCCGUAGCCGGUUCAGAAAAUUUUCUGUGAAAUCGUUAGGCUUAACUUAACGGUAUGCAGGAAAGACUACUGAACUAGGGACCGGGAGGCGUCAGAGGUAUUCCUGAGGGAGCGGUAAAAUGCUAUAAUCUCAGGAGGACCUCCUGUGGCGAAGGCGUCUGACGAGAACGGAUCCGACGGUGAGGGACGAAAGCCAGGGGAGCGAACCGG